CGGGGAGCUCGGGGCCGGGCCUCGAGUCGUGGGCGGUGCCGCCCCGGGGCCGUGUGCGGUCGCUGUGGCGCCGCGCUGCCCUUCGGCCGCCGAGGGGAGGGUUUUGCCCCGGGGCGCCGUUCGCUGCUGCGGCUCCCGCUGGGCUGCGGGCGCCAGGGGUCAGCGGGGGACCUCCAGCCCAGCCCAGCCCAAGAGGCAGCCCGGCUGCCCGUGUGCAUAAAUAGCGUCAUUUGUUCACCGGCUGAGAGCCGCCGUCCGGUUCUAAUCGGCGACAAAUGGGGGUGGGAGAAAAGGGGGAAAGGGAGGAUGAGGGUUACAAUAACGAGAUUACACGCUCGCUUAGGUUCCUUGUGUGCGCGUCUUUGUGGUGCUGCCGGGCCUUUGUGCGGCGGGUGGAGGAAUGAGUGAGGAAGUGGGGCCGGGGGCAAAGAGCGCGGCUGGGGCGGGCCCGGGGAAAACAAAGAGGCAGCGGUGCGGCCCCGAGCACAGCCGUGAGCACAGCCCGAGCGGGUGGUGCCGCCUUGGGGUCUUGGAGCUCGGAGUCCACCUCCAGGUCCUGUCAGUCGACACCGGUUUGGGGUCUGUGAGGUUUCCUUCCCAGCUCCCAGCACUUGAUGCUUUGCGGAUCGUUUCUGUGCGAGAGGUGGAGGUCGAAGUGCAGUCGUUGCCUGUAUCAGUGUGCAGGGCUGACUCACUGGGCUCCGUGCUGCCGUGCUCUGCAGCCACAAAAAUUGCUGCUGAUGCUCUGGGUAAGAACGGCUGCUGCUUCUGUCGGUGUAGCACUCCGUGGCUCCGUGGCCUGGUUUAAUCUCCACUGCUGCUUUUUACCCAUCUCUUGCCAAGGAGAACGACGCAGGGCUCGGCCCAUGGGAGGGUUCGCGCUCCCUCAGCAAAACAAACCUAAAUGAGCAUCUGGGCAGCAUUUGAUUCCUGCUCUGUGCUGUUGACAUACUCAGCUGCUCCGUGCCAUGCCCACGGCCAGCAGCAAUAAAGCAGGCGGUUAUUAAAUUAACCUGCUAAGACACAGAUCCUGCAGGGAUGUUCGGGGAGCAGACAGAUGGCACAAGCAAAGGGCCAGGACUAAUUGCAAUCCCCAUCUCACGAAGGUGAGAGGCGGCUCCUGCACAGUGCCGCAGGGCCCUGCCCUGUCCUGAAGCCCGGAGAGGAGCAGCCCAGGCUCUGGAGGGACAGGGUAGCUCUCAUGGCAGGGGUACAGCUACUUCCUCACCAGACAAAGCGUGAGCAGUGCACCGCCUGCUGCUGCUGCCUCUGCAGGCUGCAAUUACUGAGCAGAAGUGGCUGUGACUCACUGCCUCUGCCCGAGCUCUGCGCCAGGCCCUUGCCAGCCAGCCUGCAGCAGGUGGCUGAGCGGAGGCUGCUCCAGCAGGGACAGCCAGGAUUUCACCUGAGUUUUGCUCUAGCCGAGUAUAUAGUAUGUGUGGAUAUAGGCAAAAGAAGCGUAAGACUUUGUGUCAUUUCUUCACCGACCUCAUAACCGUAAAAACGGCUUUCUGUUUCAGCUCCUUCAGAGUACGACGAGGUCUGUCUUAGGGGCUGGAUGUGUUCACUUGGCUGAGCCUCUUAAUUCUGGGCCUUUGCAGCAGCAUUACCUGCAGAGACACUUUUCCUCUUUGCCAGUUUCUCCUGCCAACGUGGAGAUGACUCAGAGGCAAGUUCUGAGGACUUCUCUCAGAAAUUACUUGUUUCUGCUGGGCUGCUUCUACCUAUUACUUUGCUUGCACCUAAAAGAAAGAGAUGUAUCUGAAGCAGUUACUGAUUCUGGGGAUGCACUGAGUUACAGCUGGUACCAGAAGGUAACUGGAGUUUCUGAGGAGGACAAUCCCAGUCCUGCUCACCUCCCCAGAUCCCCACAUACCUUGUGAUGCCAGCGCAGCUCGCUCUCACUACGAUCAGCUUCUACCAACUACCCCAAAGCUGAAGGGAUGGGGAUGGCCUCAGACCUUCCCAUGGCAAAUCACCAACGCAUGUGACAGCCUCUCUCUCUCUGCAUACGUGGAGAGGCUUCCAGCCAGCGCUGUCGUGGAGUAAAGCUGAAAAUAUGCCUCUCUAAGGCUCAAAAGCCUGAAGGCAACAACGAACAAAUAAACCAAACCUGUUGUUUUGAACCCUAACUGAAAAGAAAGGUGGAGGAAGGUAAACAUGCUGUCAAGAUAUAUUGAAGACUUGUGAAAAUAAAGCAAUUUAAAACUGACAUCUAAGAGAAGAGUUCUUUCAUGGGUUUCCCUUUUUAAUCAUAUUCCCUCAGCAAUUACAAUUCAAAUGCUACAGCAGCGUGCAAACUUGUGCAUGAAAUGCAAUAGCAGAAUGAAGCGGCCAACAGUCAAUUAGAGUGAUACUCUGCAGUUCAUUCCCAUUGCAGGGAGAGAAUAAAACCUAAAAUUCGACCCAGAUGGGGAUUUGUGACAACGCUGCAUGCCAUGCCCCACCCCUGUGCACUCUUCUUCACACUCACCACUUUUUCCAGCCGCAGCUGAGGUUGUGCACGUGCAACAAAGUGAGCAGAGAGUUCUUGUGCAUGUCUCUGGAUCAGCACAAUGCAUGUGGCUCUCUGGAGGGAGGAGGCAGGUAACGGGCUGGGAUGUAAGCUCUUCUUUCCCAUCCUCCAGUCCUCAUGAAGAAGUAGCAGCUCUUGUUCAUGCGAUCCCAAGGGAGGGAGGGGCUUGAAUUUUGGGUGGUCCUGUGUGGGGCCAGACAUGGGGCUAGAUAAUCCUUGUGGGUCCCUUCCAACUCAGGCUCUUAUAUGAUUCUACAAUUCUAAGUGUAUUGGCAGAGCCGCAAGCAAUGUCUGUCUGGACAGACAGAGAUUCUCCCCAGACUGCAUUUGCAAAAGCUAACAAAACUGCCUGCAAAGUGAGAACACGGCAAUCUCAUUAUGAGACACUUUAUCAGCCUUCCUGCCAAGGGAGGGCAAUGGCACCGAGCUGCACCUCCUCCUUGCCAAAACUGUCAGCUCUCCUGGAAGCUGCACCUGCCUGCCUGGAGACAAGCCAGGCAACAGCCAGGGACUGCACAGUGCCCUGACAGCGACUGCCAGGAGGGCUCAUGGCACCCAACAUGGGGGGCGGACCAGCAGGCCACAGAGCCCCGGCCUCAGAGCCCCGCUGCUACCAGAGCCUGGCCCGGAGCCCUGGGCUCAAAGAUGGGGAAGCUCCUUGAAGCCUCAUUAGAGAAUUGAAAUGGGAUGGAGUUGCAAAACAGCUCAUUUCUUGACUUAAAAAAUGGAGUUAAUAUUUGCCAGCCAGGAUGAAGAGUGGCCUGGACCAUCAACAGGCUCAGUGGGGCUUGCUGCGCUGCUGAGGGCUCGCUGGGUCUCUGUGAUAGUUGCCCAUGGUCGUCAGUCUUCUGCUGUGUGCUUUAUGAACUUGCUCAAGUUCAUUUUGAGGACAAAAGCCAGCAGUCCGAUCCUGGUUGGCCCUGCAGGUGGGCAGACAGACAAAGCCCUGCAGGAGAACAGCCGUGGCCAGGGGCCCAUGGGCACUGUGCAGCCCCCAGGUGAGCCCAGGCACUGGGGAAAGGAUGCUCUUAUCUCUGCCUUGUGCUGCAGCAGACCUGGAAGCAGAUGCAGAUCUUGAACCCAUGUCCGUGCUGAGGCUGAGCCCCUACUCCUGCCCCAGCAUGCUUGCAUUUCUCUCGCUCCAGUGGGGUCCAUCCGCUGCUAUGGCUCUGUGCCCAGAAGGUUUGGGGAUGCAGAUCUGAGAUGCGGGGGGACAGCACUGAAGCUCAUCCUUGUCCAUGGACUGGGAGCUCUCCUUGAUGUGGCAUACCUGCCUCAUCCCCAGGGCUUUUCUCAUUGCCUGCUUUUCUUUUUCCUAUUUUUCCCCCCAAUAUUUAAUCCCAUGUUAAAUUCUUCUUCAAUCUCUCAACAUUUUGCAAGUCUCUCUAUUUUCUUCUUCUUCUUCUUUUUUUUGCUGUGAAGGAUUUCUAAUCCCUCUGUAUCGAGACUUCAUACCUUGCUCCGCCACUGUGCUCUGAUCAUUUAAACAUGAGCUCUUUGCACAUUACACCUGUUUGACAUAAAUUCUUGCAUGUUCCCUAGGAAGAAAAUUAUCCUCU
ensembl:lncRNA